GACGAACGCUGGCGGCGUGCCUAACACAUGCCAGUCGAACGGAAAGGCCCUGCUUUUGUGCGGUCCUCGAGUGGCGAACGGGUGAGUAACACGUGAGUAACCUGUCCCUGACUUUGGGAUAACUUCAGGAAACUGGGGCUCAUACCGGAUAGGAGCUCUCGCUGCAUGGUGGGGGUUGGUAAGUUUCGGCGGUUGGGGAUGGACUGGCGGCUCAUCAGCUUGUUGGUGGGGUAGUGGCUUACCAAGGUUUUGAAGGGUAGCCGGCCUGAGAGGCUGACCGGCCACAAUGGGACUGAGAUACGACCCAGACUCCUACGGGAGGCAACGGUGGAGAAUAUUACACAAUGGGCGGGAGCCAGAUGCAGCAACGCCGCGUGCGGGAUGACGGGCUUCGGGUUGUGAACCACUUUCGCCUGAAACGAGGCGUGAGUGACGGUAAUGGGUAAAAAAGCACCGGCUAACUACGUG
rnacentral:rRNA from 1 species